UGGGGAAUAUUGGACAAUGGGCGAAAGCCUGAUCCAGCCAUGCCGCGUGUGUGAAGAAGGUCUUCGGAUUGUAAAGCACUUUAAGUUGGGAGGAAGGGCAUUAACCUAAUACGUUAGUGUUUUGACGUUACCGACAGAAUAAGCACCGGCUAACUCUGUGCCAGCAGCCGCGGUAAUACAGAGGGUGCAAGCGUUAAUCGGAAUUACUGGGCGUAAAGCGCGCGUAGGUGGUUUGUUAAGUUGGAUGUGAAAACCACGGGCUCAACCUGGGAACUGCAUUCAAAACUGACUGACUAGAGUAUGGUAGAGGGUGGUGGAAUUUCCUGUGUAGCGGUAAAAUGCGUAGAUAUAGGAAGGAACACCAGUGGCGAAGGCGACCACCUGGACUAAUACUGACACUGAGGUGCGAAAGCGUGGGGAGCAAACA
rnacentral:rRNA from 1 species